GAACUGUGAAUGACGAACCAGUCUACUCGAAAUUAUACCCCUACCCUAUGGGAGCAGCAGACUUCGUUAACAAAGAAGUCAAAGAACUGCUGAAGGACGGCAUAAUCAGGCCAUCUAGGUCGCCAUACAACAGCCCAAUUUGGGUUGUAGACAAAAAGAAAUCUGACGUCAAAGGCAACAGGAAAAAGCGGCUGGUAAUCGACUUCAGAAAACUGAACGAGCGAACAAUUGCCGAUCGAUACCCUAUGCCGAGCAUACCCAUGAUUCUAGCGAACUUGGGAAAGGCAAGAUUUUUUACUACCCUAGAUCUAAAAUCAGGGUACCACCAGAUAUACAUGGCGGAAAAAGACCGUGAAAAACUUCGUUUUCAAUUAACGGAGGGAAAUACGAGUUUUGCCGGUUACCCUUUGGACUAAAGAAUGCUGGGAGCAUUUUCCAAAGGGCAAUCGACGAUGUUCUACGAGAACAAAUUGGGAAAAUAUGUUAUGUCUAUGUAGAUGAUGUAAUAAUUUUUUCCGAAAACGAAAAUGAUCACGUUAAACACAUCGACACAGUGCUAAAACGCCUCUGCGAUGCAAACAUGAGAGUGGCGCCAGAAAAGACAAAGUUCUUUAAAGAAAGCGUAGAGUUCUUAGGCUUCAUAGUUACCAGGGGAGGAGCCAAGACCGACCCAGAAAAAGUAAGGGCAAUAAGGGAAUACACUGAACCCAAAACACUGUUCAGCCUCAGGUCCUUCCUCGGGCUGGCCAGCUAUUACAGGAGCUUUGUCAGAGAUUUCGCGACAAUAGCGAGACCCUUAACCGCAUUACUCAAAGGAGAAAAUGGCACAGUCAGCAAACACAUGUCCAAGAAAGUUGCGAUUCAGUUCGGUGAAACGCAACGCAACGCAUUCGACCGUCUGCGAAACAUUUUGGCGUCAGAGGACGUCAUCCUUACAUACCCUGAUUUCAAACUACCCUUUGAUCUAACUACCGAUGCCUCAGCAAGCGGCAUUGGGGCGGUCCUGUCCCAAAACGGCAGGCCAAUCACAAUGAUCUCGCGAACACUAAAAGAUUGUGAAGUAAACUACGCCACAAACGAAAGGGAAUUGUUGGCAAUUGUAUGGGCUAUAGGGAAGUUACAAAAUUACUUAUACGGUACCAAGGAAGUAAGAAUCUUUACCGAUCACCAGCCCUUCACAUUUGCUGUGUCCGAUAGGAACACAAAUGCCAAAAUCAAACGGUGGAAAGCCUUUAUAGAGGAACAUAACGC
rnacentral:lncRNA from 1 species